rnacentral:rRNA from 1 species
ACAGGUGGUGCAUGGUUGUCGUCAGCUCGUGUCGUGAGAUGUUGGGUUAAGUCCCGCAACGAGCGCAACCCUUAUUGUUAGUUGCUACGCAAGAGCACUCUAGCGAGACUGCCGUUGACAAAACGGAGGAAGGUGGGGACGACGUCAAAUCAUCAUGCCCCUUAUGUCCUGGGCCACACACGUACUACAAUGGUGGUCAACAGAGGGAAGCAAUACCGCGAGGUGGAGCAAAUCCCUAAAAGCCAUCCCAGUUCGGAUCGCAGGCUGCAACCCGCCUGCGUGAAGUUGGAAUCGCUAGUAAUCGCGGAUCAGCAUGCCGCGGUGAAUACGUUCCCGGGCCUUGUACACACCGCCCGUCACACCAUGAGAGUCGGGAACACCCGAAGUCCGUAGCCUAACCGCAAGGGGGGUGCGGCCGAAGGUGGGUUCGAUAAUUGGGGUGAAGUCGUAACAAGGUAGCCGUAUCGGAAGGUGCGGCUGGAUCACCUC